GACACAGCUGCCUUCAGCACAGAGCUCAGAAAAGAGAAAGCGUGCGUGUACACGUGAGAGACAGUAAAAGGAAAGGUUCAGCGCCCUCCACAAGGUUCGGUCCCGCCACGAUGCCCUUCCUCCUUCUUCCUGCCCAACAGCCCUUGGCUCCCACGUGUGCCAGGCACCAUACAGAUCAUCAAGGAUACCAUCAAGCCUAUCUCAAAAUGACCUCCAUCAAUUUCAAAGAAAAUCAAAAUUAACCUGGAACAAAUGAGUUUAAAAAGUUCUAGGGCAGGCUCCUUAGCACAGUGGUUAAGGGCGCUGGAUCUAACAUGGUCAACCACAAGGUUCAAA